ACGUGACCCGGGGCUGUUCUGGGCAGAAGUGGUAACAGGCAGCGACCGUGACCAGCAGCUGCUGACCUGCCUCUCUCUGCCAUCCAAACAGUAUGGGUUGGGUGGGGGGCUGCCUUUCGCCCUGGACUCGGGAUUGACGCAGACACCCAGAACAGUCCCGCAGGCCACGGGCACAGCCACCGAGGCAGAGAUAAACCUUUGUCCUUAUAAGUCUCCGCGACCUUGGGGUUGUCCUUGCAGCCACCAAGCUGACCGACAGAGUUGGUGUGCGGUGACUACAUGUGGAACUCACGGUGGCAUAAAUGACAAGCUUCCAUCUUCCUCGGACGCGCCCCGGUGUAGACCACGCAGCUCGCCGGUGCUGGACACAGGUACCUCCUGCGCCCUGUCGGCUCACAGGUUGGACGCGGAGCACAUCUUGCAGCACUGCCGGCCGUAGAAGUGAUGGCUGCACAUCCCGUGCUGGGGCACCAGCGUGCACCAGCGGAAGCGGUCCUCACAGAAGGCGUCUGAAAGUGAGCGGUCCCCAGUUAGUCACCGUGCCAGCGCCCCGUGCCUGCUGCCACUGGCAAUAACUCCAGCACAUCAAGACACUGAAACCCCACCAGGUGGAGAAAGUUAACUGCAUGCUGACCACCAACCAGCACAUAGAGCCCAUACCGGCUGGGGCCAGAAAAUCGGCAACUGAGAUUCCUGAAAUACCACCUUGUUACCUCACCAUCAACCAAUCAGAGAACUGCGAACAAGCUGAUCAUGUACCCCGCAACCCUCUCCCUCAGUCUUUAAAAACCCUUUCCUGAAAGCUGUCAGGGAGUUUGGGUCUUUUUGAGCCUGUUCUCCUUGCUUGGUGCCUGCAGUAAACACUGUACUUUCCUUCACCACAAAAUGGUGUCAGUAGAUUGGCUUUGCUGUGCAUUGGGCAAGCAGACCCAGGUUAGGUUCAGUAACACCAAUAACCACCGUGUUAGAUGCUCAGGGCUGCUGGAACAAAUGACCACAAGCUGGGGGGCUUGAAACAGCAGAA